UACGUAGGGUGCAAGCGUUUAAUCGGAAUUACUGGGCGUAAAGCGUGCGCAGGCGGUUAUAUAAGACAGUUGUGAAAUCCCCGGGCUCAACCUGGGAACUGCAUCUGUGACUGUAUAGCUAGAGUACGGUAGAGGGGGAGUGGAAUUCCGCGUGUAGCAGUGAAAUGCGUAGAUAUGCGGAGGAACACCGAUGGCGAAGGCAAUCCCCCUGGACCUGUACUGACGCUCAUGCACGAAAGCGUGGGGAGCAAACAGG
rnacentral:rRNA from 1 species